CAGCCUUCCGAUUUUCACAAAUCUGAUAGAUUAUAUAAAAAACUUCUCCAUUACUGGUCUUAUUUUUUUAUAGCUAACAGGGCUAAAGCAUGUAAGAAAAUUUUGCAUUUUUAAGGGUCUUUUGAAUGUUGUCCCCAGGGGAACUUUCCCUCCUGAAAGACCAAAAAUUUAUUUCUUGUAAUGUAAUGUGAAGAGCAUCAUUUCCUGAAUGUACCCUAUUAAUCCAUUAUUUUAGGUGAAUAGCUGCCAGUUUAAAAAACUUAACUCCCCAAAGAUCAGAAUUUGGAGAAAAAUAAUUUUGUUGUUCUCUCCUGUACAGCCUUUUGGUGUACC
rnacentral:lncRNA from 1 species